CCACUUGUUCUGUCAUAUUGAACAAUGGAACUGAAUAUUGCUGGGAGUUUAAUCUUCAUACUGGGGUCUCUACAAGGGAUCCAGUGUGAUGACAUAAGGUUGGAUCAGUCACCUCCUCAGGUGAAGAGACCAGGAGAGUCUGUCAAGCUGUCCUGUGUCAUUUCUGGGUUUCAAAUGACAAACUACUACAUGCACUGGAUGCGACAGAAAGCAGGUGGAGGACUGGAGUGGAUUGGAAGAGUAAACUCUGGUAGUACAUAUGAUCCAGACUACGCAGCAUCCCUGAAAGGACAGUUCACCCUGACUGAGGACGUCUCCAAAAGCACACAGUACUUGGAGGCCAAGAGUCUGAAAACAGAGGACACGGCUGUUUAUUACUGUGCUCGAGACUCACAUUGA